UAGUGUCUUUACAAUAGAAGCUGCUUCAAUAGUCUUUGUAGAGACACUAAUACUAGUUAGUGCCGAAAGUUAUUAAACCGAAUGGAUUUAUAGUAGGUAAUUAAGUUGAAUUAACAACUUCCCUCAAGUGCUAUAUGCCGUAGGGUGGAAAAACAACGUGCCACUGAUCA
rnacentral:ncRNA from 12 species